UCCUCCCAGGUGCUUCCUCUGCGGGCUCUGGCCUGCAAAGGAGGUCAACAACAGUUAAACUCUGGCUGCUUAAAACCCUCAGGACGUCGGUGGAAGCCUCCCUCGGGGCACGCCGGAUGUGACGCUGGACACUCGCUCGAUAAACAUUUUGCUAAGAAGCCUCAGCGAAGAAGCCUGUGCUGCUUGGUACCUGGCCCUGACUGGCAAGGGUGAGGGGGAAGGACGGAUGGCCAGCUUACACAGGAAAAAAAGGGGGUAAAUCGAGCUUUUGGAGUACCUGAAAGGUGAUCUUGGAGGGAUUCAAGAGCUGGCUUUGGAAUUUAAAGGCUGUGCAUUACAGCAGGACUGGGAGCAUUUUCACACUUUGUUAGUUGAGUGUAUUUGGGACAAACAUCAAGAGUUAGAGUAUGUGGAGGACGCUUACCUGAGGAAGUGGGGUGAUUUAAAAACAAAUAAUUGGACAGCAAUCUUAGAGACACCCUAAGUUGGGACUUGCUACCUUUCCUCCGUGGGCAGGACAGAUCCAGGAAAGAGACAAAUGAAAGCAUAAACCGGGUGCAGUGAGUCUGGAAAAGGUUUAAGACUCUUUAAACAGUAAGUGCAAGAUUAGCACAUCGAGUUGAAGGUCCUUGCUGUUUGACCACUUAUACAUUUUGAAAAUGUGGACAUAAAUUCUUGGAGGAAGUAGAAAACAGCGUUUACAUUAGAUUCAGGAAUUCUACAGUAGCCCGUAAGUGGCUGCAUUCUCCAAAAUAAAACAAAACCUUGAAAACACCAUAAAAUAUAGAAUGACUAGUCAAGAUAUUGAGUGGGAAUCAAACGCUGUGUGUGUGUGUGAUGAAAUUGUGAACGUUUAGAAGCCUAAACUGGACCUGGCAUCUCAAACCAAUACAUUCUAACACUCCAGAAACUAAGGCAGGGCAGGAGGAUCACACAGAUUCAAGGCUAGCCUAGGCUACCGAGUGAACUCAGUUCUAAAAUUAAUAAUGAGCCAGUAAAGAUGGCUUGCCACCCAGCCUGAGGACCUGAAUUCAAUCCCUGAAAUACACAUGGUGAAAGGAGAGAACCCACACCAACAAUUUGCCCUCUGGCUCUAAGGAAUCAUCAGACGCCACCGGGAUCUGGCGAAAUGCUGUUGGAGGUGGAUCCAAGUCGAUUCCCUGUGGCGUAAAGCACCUGACCCUUUCCCAUCCCCACAGCGUCACCGGGACAAGUUUGAGAGUCUUGUGCCUCCAGUUCUGUGGCCAACAGCUGGUAGUCCAACAACAGCUGAUUAGGAAUGGCCAGUGGGUCUCCAGAAAACAUCCCAAUGGAAGGUGUAAAUUCAGAGAGGGUUGACUUGGAGACAGGCACAGGCUGCUCAGUGAUUUGUCAAACACAGCAGGUACCAAGGGCUCUGAGCCUGAAAGACACACAGUUGCCUGGUACCAGGACCUUGAGAAAAGCCAGAAGGCGAGGAGAAGAUUGUGCUGGAGAAAUGAAGCCUCACAUCCAGGGGAAUGGUCAGAAAUGGGUAGCCCCGCCAGAGACCCAAUUGCCAAUACUGAAUGGAAGGCAAAGUCACCAGUGAACAAGAAAGCAGAUCUAUUAAGGGUGGAGCAGGGGGGUAGGGGCCCAAUGUGAAGUUAUUACAAAGGGCCUGGAAGACGAUUUCUGUAAACUUAUGCCUAUGAAUGAAGCAGAACAAGAUCCAAUGGUUUUUAAUCAAGCAAGGAUCCAGCAAGAAAGACACAAGCUGCCAGACGAUUCAUGAAUCAAAGGGCCAGGGUGGUAGAACCCAAGGAUAGCGUUCUAGACACGCAUAGGCCUCCCAGAAGUUCAUCAAACAAAGGGCAGAGGCCAAGGGCUCCAAGUCUAAAAGAGCCGUGGUUACCUGGUACCAGGGCUUAAACCAGUCCAAAAGGCAAAAACCAUGCUGGAGAGAUGGAGUCCUCACUCGUGGGAAUAGCCAGAAGUGGGGAAAGGGUAGGGCUCACCAAUCCAGUCAUGCUGGUUUUGGAUGGAGGGACCCAGAGAUCCAAAGAGGGGAUUGGCGUAUGUGGACCAGGUUCCCUUUGUGCCUCAAACUGCCUGCAGGUAGAAACGCCAGGAGAGCCUUUGCGGGUCAGGGAAUCAAUGUUGUAAUUUUAAGAAGUGGAGCACAAGAGAAAGCCAUGCAAAGACCUUGAGUGGAGUGGGUUUUUUUUUUCCUUUUUUUUUUUUAAUUGUGGAAAAGUGAAUGGGAAAGGGGGAGAAGGGAGACUGGCUCGGGGGGCAGGAGCAGUAGAAGAGAGGAGAGAAAGACAGAGAGACAGGCAAGGAAGCAGAGAGUGAGAGAAGGAGGAGGAGAGAAAAAUGGGAGGUGAGGGGAGCAGAGCCCUUUUAAAAGGGAGCUCAGGUGGGGCUCUUAGUAGCUGCAGCUGAGGGCGUAUCCUGUCAGAACCCCGAGGACAGGCCAGCACAGAUUCCUGAACACUAACAAUAUUGCAAUAUUGAGUACUACAAAAACCUGAACUUCUCUAACAUGCAAAUAUAACGUAAGAGAAGAAAUUAUUAAUUUGAUAUCGAAACAAAUCCAGUGACCAGAAAGUCUUUGUGGAGGGGUUGGAAAAGUGGAUCAGCAACUGAGAGCAUCAGCUGCUUUUCCAGAAGAUCCAGCUUCAGUUUCCAGCACCCACAUAACAGCUCACGGCUGUCUGAAACUCCAGCAGUUCCAGGGGAUCCGACGCUCUCACACAGGUUUACGUGUAGGCAAAACACCAAUCACAUAAAAUAAAAAUAAACAGCAAGAAGUCGUCGUCUCUGUGAAGGAAGAAAUGUCUGAACCAGGUUUUUAAAAACUUCUGUGAAAACCACUCUUAAGCUGACGUUCCCAGCUUGGCGGGCCGCCAUGUCUUCCCAUGAGCUGUUUGUAUGUCCAGAGCUCACUUCCAUUUCAGAAUUAGUUCCAUUAUUUUUCUCUUCUCUGCACAAUGACUUUUGUUUUAUUAACUUGGCAUGAAGUUUUGGGUCAGGAAAUUUCAUGGAAUUUUGCCCUAACAUAAAAUGUAGUAUCUCCUUUUAUUCUGAAUGUCAGUCACAAAGCACACUUGUACAAGCAUUAGCAGUAUCCAUGGUUUGCAGUCAGAUGAAAUGAGCAAUGUUUUCAAAUUCUAUUACAGAUAACAACAUUUAAUAUCCAUUACUAGCUGAAAAUUAUAGUAAGGUCUACCACGAGAUCUUGUUUUUUAAUGACUUAAGAUGAAUGCAUGCACAAAUUUA